rnacentral:rRNA from 1 species
AGAGUUUGAUCAUGGCUCAGAUUGAACGCUGGCGGAAUGCUUUACACAUGCAAGUCGAACGGUAGAGGGGGCAACCCCUCGAGAGUGGCGAACGGGUGAGUAAUAUAUCGGAACGUGCCCAGUCGUGGGGGAUAACGUAGCGAAAGUUACGCUAAUACCGCAUACGAUCUACGGAUGAAAGCGGGGGAUCGCAAGACCUCGCGCGAUUGGAGCGGCCGAUAUCAGAUUAGGUAGUUGGUGGGGUAAAGGCUCACCAAGCCAACGAUCUGUAGCUGGUCUGAGAGGACGACCAGCCACACUGGAACUGAGACACGGUCAAGACUCCUACGGGAGGCAGCAGUGGGGAAUUUUGGACAAUGGACGCAAGUCUGAUCCAGCCAUUCCGCGUGCAGGAUGAAGGCCCUCGGGUUGUAAACUGCUUUUGUACGGAACGAAAAGGUUUCCAUUAAUACUGGGAGCUCAUGACGGUACCGUAAGAAUAAGCACCGGCUAACUACGUGCCAGCAGCCGCGGUAAUACGUAGGGUGCAAGCGUUAAUCGGAAUUACUGGGCGUAAAGCGUGCGCAGGCGGUUAUGCAAGACAGAUGUGAAAUCCCCGGGCUCAACCUGGGAACUGCAUUUGUGACUGCAUGGCUAGAGUACGGUAGAGGGGGAUGGAAUUCCGCGUGUAGCAGUGAAAUGCGUAGAUAUGCGGAGGAACACCGAUGGCGAAGGCAAUCCCCUGGACCUGUACUGACGCUCAUGCACGAAAGCGUGGGGAGCAAACAGGAUUAGAUACCCUGGUAGUCC